GAAGCUGCGAACGGCUCAUUACAACAGAGGUAACCUGCUCUCGGUAAAAAACGUACAACUAUGCUAAUUGUGUGGCUAAUACGUGAAAUCAAUCUGCGGGUUGCUCCGAUUACUUAUCAGCUCCUAACUUGAUUGUUUGCUGGGUGCUUAGACAUUUUGUCUUCCGAGAAUGGGUCUCUGAUCUAUCAGUUGUUGACGGUUGUGUUUUGGAUAACCGUGGCGUUGACGGAUAACGGGGAAUUAGGGUUCGAUUCCGGAGAGAACGCAUGAGACACGGCGUUCACGGCUAAGGUUGGCAGCAGGAGCGCAAACUUUUCGAAUAGACGAUGUCUGAAAAGGUGACUAUCCGUAUCGACAACUGCCAGUGGUGGUUGGUCGGAAUGAGAGACGUUCAGAUGUCGUUUCGAGCAGCAAGUUCAGGGCAAGUCUGGUGCCAGCAGCCGCGGUAAUACCAGCUGAGCUAGAAAUGGGUAACAUUGUUGCAGUAAAAACGUACGUAGUCACUUUUGUUGCUGUAUGCACGUUUCAGAACGUGUUAUGCUCAACCUCUUGUGCUCUGUUUAGGGUGCGAGCUCCGCGAGUAAACUAGAAUGAUUAACUUGAAUGUUUGGAUAUGACAGCGUGGGAAAUCUGAUGAUGCCGAGGAUUUGUUGCUCAAUUUGCUUAACCUUCGGGAUAUACUGUAAGAAUGAAUGAGGGCAUCAGUACUUAGUAGCUAGAGGUGAAAUUCCUAGAUUUGCUAAUGACUAACGACUGCGAAAGCAUUUGUCUAAUUCAUUUUUGGUGAUCAAGUACUAAAGAGUGGGGAUCGAAGAGGAUUAGAUACCCUCGUAGUCCACUCCCUAAACCAUGCCGACUAGAGGUUGGUGUAUCGUCAUGGAACUUCAUCAGAGCCUUAGCAGAUAUGAAAGUCUUUGGGCUCUGGGGGGAGUACGGUCGCAAGGUCGAAACUUAAAGGAAUUGACGGAACGGCACCACCAGGGGUGGAGCGUGCGGCUUAAUUUGACUCAACGCGGGAAACCUUACUAGGGUAAGACACUGGUAUGAUGAUUGACAGAUUACUUGAUCUUUCUUGAUUUGGUGGGUGGUGGUGCAUGGCCGAUCUUAGUUGGUGGGGUGACCCGUCUGGUUAAUUUCGAUAACGAACGAGAUCCGAGCUGUCUAGUUGGCGAUUUCUCCCAAUGUGAGGUUUCAGUCUCCUAUAUGGACUGUCAGUUAGAGGCUGAAGGAGGUUUCGGGCUAAAUCAGGUCUGUGAUGCCCUUAGACACUCUAGGCGGCACGCGCGCUACAAUGGGUGGAAUAUUGUGUUACUUCUCUCGUGAGAAGAGGGUGAAUCAAGAAUUCCGACCCGUGAAUGGGAUAGUUUAUUGCAAUUUUCGGACUUGAACUAGGAAUCCCUUGUAAGUACUCUCAAGAAUAGUGUGCUGAAUACGUCCCUGCCCUUUGUACACACCGCCC
rnacentral:rRNA from 1 species